GGGGAAUUUUGGACAAUGGGGGCAACCCUGAUCCAGCCAUGCCGCGUGAGUGAAGAAGGCCUUCGGGGUGUAAAGCCCUUUCGGCAGGGAAGACUUUGACGGUACCUGCAGAAGCAGCUGCGGCUAACUACGUGCCAGCAGCCGCGGUAAUACGUAGGCAGCAAGCGUUGUUCGGAGUUACUGGGCGUAAAGGGUGCGUAGGCGGUUCUCUAAGUUUGGUGUGAAAUCUCCCGGCUCAACUGGGAGGGUGCGCCGAAAACUGGAAAGCUAGAGUGUGGGAGAGGUGAGUGGAAUUCCUGGUGUAGCGGUGAAAUGCGUAGAUAUCAGGAGGAACACCGGUGGUGUAGACGGCUCACUGGACCAUUACUGACGCUGAGGCACGAAAGCGUGGGUAGCAAGC
rnacentral:rRNA from 1 species